AUUGAACGCUGGCGGCAGGCUUAACACAUGCAAGUCGAGCGAGCGGCGGACGGGUGAGUAAUGUCUGGGACACUGCCUGAUGGAGGGGGAUAACUACUGGAAACGGUAGCUAAUACCGCAUACCAUCGGAUGUGCCCAGAUGGGAUUAGCUAGUCGGUGGGGUAAAGGCUCACGAAGGCGACGAUCCCUAGCUGGUCUGAGAGGAUGACCAGCCACACUGGAACUGAGACACGGUCCAGACUCAUACGGGAGGCAGCAUGGGUGAAGAUGGCACAAUGGGCGCAAGCCUGAUGCAGCCAUCCCGCGGGUAUGAAGAAGGCCUUCGGGUUGUAAAGUACUUUCAGCGGGGAGGCGUUACCCGCAGAAGAAGCACCGGCUAACUCCGUGCCAGCAGCCGCGGUAAUUC
rnacentral:rRNA from 1 species